rnacentral:rRNA from 1 species
CCUACGGGAGGCAGCAGUGGGGAAUAUUGCACAAUGGGCGAAAGCCUGAUGCAGCAACGCCGCGUGAAGGAAGAAGGCUUUCGGGUCGUAAACUUCUGUCCUCAGGGAAGAGGAACUGACGGUACCCAAGGAAGAAGCCCCGGCUAACUACGUGCCAGCAGCCGCGGUAAUACGUAGGGGGCAAGCGUUAUCCGGAAUUAUUGGGCGUAAAGGGUACGUAGGGGGCAACCUAAGCGCAGGGUUUAAGCCGAGGGCUCAACCAUGGUCCGCCCUGCGAACUGGGUGGCUUGAGUGCAGGAGAGGAAAGCGGAAUUCCUAGUGUAGCGGUGAAAUGCGUAGAUAUUAGGAGGAACACCAGUGGCGAAGGCGGCUUUCUGGACGGUAACUGACGCUGAGGUACGAAAGCGUGGGGAGCAAACAGGAUUAGAUACCCGAGUAGUC